AUACCAGGCACUGGCAAGGUUAACCCAUUUCUCCAUGGAGCAUCUGUUGAAGUUGGGGGAAGUAUAAAAAAAGAUUAUAACAAAGGUAAGCAGACAAGUAAAUAAAAGAACUGCGGACUGAAAUAAAUGUCAUAAGGAAAUUUAGGAGCUAAAACAGAGAACAGACGAGGCCUGACUUUUCACCAGGUGAGCAGGAAAUGGCCCUGUGAGGUUACACUCAAGCUGAGCCAGAAGACCAGGUGCAAAGGUCCUGCGGCAACGAAGAGCUUAGCCAGCAUCCGAGGACCUGAAAGAAGACCAGAGUGGCAGGAAUGUUGUGAGCACAGAGGCUCCCACAAGAGGAGGCUGGAGAGGUUUGCAGGGGCCAGAUCAUGCAGAGUUUACUCAAGCAUGGAUUUUAUUCUAAGUACAAUGGGAAGCUCUUAAAGGGUUUUUGUGGUGUGUGUGUGUGUGUGUGUGUGUCUGUGUGUGUGUGUGUCUGUGUGGGUGUGCAGGGGAAGGGUGAAGGGGUGACAUAACAUAAUCUCCUCCUCUUUUCCCCCUCUUCCUCCUUCUUCUUCCUCCUCUUCUUUUUCUUCAUUUUCUCCUUCUUCAUCUCUUCCUUCUUCUCCCCCUCUUCCUCCUCCUUCUCAGAUGACCACUUUUGCAGCUAUGUGGGGACAGUUGAUUUGAGGUAGGCAAGUGUGCAGGGGAAGGCCUUUUAGGAAGGAUGUAGCAGGAACCUGGACUUGGGUCGCGGCGGUCGCAGGGGAGAGAAGGUGCGAUCAGAUGUCUACUGGGGACGGGAUUGAUAGGAUGUGCUGAUAGAUUGCAGGGAAUGGGAGUGUUGGGGAGGGUCCUGGGUGACUGAGUGUCUGCUUGCUCUUUACAGGGGUUUCUGUCCCACCACAGAGUGGCAUACCUGGCUCAUGGGCUCCUGGGUGACCCUAAGAAGCUGUCCCAAGAUGACCAUCAGGGCCCCUUCCAUCCCUCACUGCCACUGAUAAAGCUGGACAGCUCUGCCUUCUCUGGAACUCACCUGGGUCUGGGGCAAGAUGUCUCAGUGACUCUUACCUCUUGCGCAAUAGGCAGUAUUUUUUUCCAAAUUUGAUAGUCUCCUUUGCAUCUGAUGGGGCCAUUCUCCAUUUUCUAAUGACCACACAACAGUCUUGCCUGCAAGUGCCUUCCUAAGCUGGGGUCCUACCUCAGAAUCAGUAGUGAGUUAGGAAAUCACAUCUCUGGAGGGUGAGAAAUGAAACCGCAGUUUGCAACAUGUACCAGUUUCUAUGAUAUAAAUACCCGUGCCAUGGCCACUUUCAAGCUACCAAUAGUUAACCAACUCAAAACAUUCCUGAACAGUGAACACUUGGCUCUCACCAGCCUAUAGGAGCCAGGCCUAGCUCAGGAUCGCAUGACUGCUGGCCUAGAACACUGUGCCAAACAAUUUCCUCCAGCUUCUCAAAACGCGCAGUUGUCCAGGGCAGAAGCUGAGUGUGCAGGAGGCUUGGUGAGGUGAUGCACUGAGUCCACAGGUCUGGGAACGAAUCCAGUCAGCGACUCACUGCAUGCUCAAGUGUGUCUGAAUAAGUUAACUUCAAAACCAAACCGAGUGCUCAAGGCAACAUCUCUCCACUGGUGAUGGAGAACAGCCUGGCAGAACUUUCCGCAUGGGUAGGUUCUGGGGAAUGAAUGGGGAGUCAGGAAAUCUGGUUGACAACUCUGGGUCUGCCACUAAUUGGCUCAAUGACCUCAGACAUGUCGCCUGACCUCUCUGAGUCUCAGCCUUCACAUCCCCAAAAUGACAGGCAGAUGAUCUAAUAGUCAGCCACUGAGUGUCUUCCAAGGCCUAUGGACUGAAUGCAACACCAAGGUUCCUGGAGAACCUGUUUCUGACCCAGGCAACCAUGCAGGUUGUGAAGCCAGAGGGGAGCUUGAGCACCAAGUUCAAGACGGCAGUCCUGCAAGGCUUUCCUCGAAGCAGCUCCUGCAGACUGGCUCUUUCACCUGAAACGCCGUAGUUUUGGACACAGAACCUGCGAGAGAAGAGCAAGGAUUUGGACUGUGGCCUGGAGACGGAAUCUGCAGCGCUCUUUCCCAAGGAAUGCAUCGCAGCCCCUCAGGCUGGAACAGGCAGGUGCUGUGAAAUCUGGCUGACAGGUCAGCUUCAAGGUGAUGUGCUUGCUGAGUCUUCUCUUCUUUCAGCGAAGCUCACAUCACGCCCCUGGUGCCUGGCAAAAGUAAAUAAUGAUGAGUGAGUGUAUGAAGCAGGAGGGUCUCUACACACCUGUAAUUACUACCUGGCAAGUCCCUGCAGAAUGCAGGAGUUCCCCCAGAAAGCCAGUGGGGCCAUUUCUGGAGAGAGGAAGUCAACAAAGGUCCUCCAGGCAAGAUCUAGCUGGAGGAACUAGAAUUAAAAUUUUAUCACUGGACGGAUGUUUUGUCGCUUGGCGGGAAAGUUCUGAGUCAAAGUUCCCAGUUUCCUAAGCUGUUAUAAACCCGGUUGAAAUGCUCACAUACACCUGUGAGUGUCUCAAAACAAACAAAGCAUAAUCGCCUUAGAACAGCACUGUCUUAUAGAAAUACAGUGUGAGCUACAUGUCAAUUAAAAUUCUCUAGAAGCCACUUUUAAAAAGAAACAGGUGAGAUGAAUUUUAAUAAUAUAUUUAACUUAACCAACCCGAAAUAGUAUCACUUCCUCAUACAAUCAAUAUAAAAAAUUGCUAGUGAGAUAUUUUACGAAGUCUUCCAAAUCUGGGUAUAUAUUACAUUUUCAGCACAUCUCACUGUGGACGUGCUUCAGGUGCUAAGAGCCACACGAGCUGUGUGCCAUGUUGGACACUGCAGCCUUUGAGGUUGACAUGUACACCUUUCCACCUUCUGAGAUCACCUGAUGCAUGAUAGAUUUCCCACAAACAUUUCAUAUAGAAGAAUGAACCUGUUAUAUGUGAAAUUUUACUUGAUCUGAAUAUACUAGUGCUCUUAAUAAAAUAAGAAUUACUAAACCAUUUCCUUUGAAUAGUACCAGGCAGUUCUGAAACCCAGCCUUGGUUGAUAUUUUCAUGUGC